AGCACUUCUAUUACCCUGGGUGAAAAAAAAAAACAAACUGAUAAAGCCGGCAGAAAAAAAUGCAAAACUUCUUUGAGGGAGAUGCCCCAAACACCGGCCACCUGUAAUUUCUACAGAGAAGGCCUCUAGGAAGAUAAACUCAUAAACUCAGCAAACUGAGUGAUUAUAUUCCUCACAGUUUAAUAAUAGGAUCAUUUGGUUGAGUCUGUCAAUUAAGGAUAUUCAGAAUGAUUAAA
rnacentral:lncRNA from 1 species